UUAGUGGCGGACGGGUGAGUAACACGUGAGCAAUCUGCCUUCUGCAGGGGAAUAACAUUGUGAUAACAGUGCUAAUACCGCAUAAUGUCCAACCGGGGCAUCCCGGACGGACCAAAGGAGAAAUCCGGCAGAAGAUGAGCUCGCGUCCGAUUAGGUAGUUGGUGAGGUAACGGCUCACCAAGCCCGCGAUCGGUAGCCGGACUGAGAGGUUGACCGGCCACAUUGGGACUGAGACACGGCCCAGACUCCUACGGGAGGCAGCAGUGGGGAAUAUUGGGCAAUGGGCGAAAGCCUGACCCAGCAACGCCGCAGUGAAGGAAGAAGGUCUUCGGAUUGUAAACUUCUUUGAUCAGGGACGAAACAAAUGACGGUACCUGAAGAACAAGCCACGGCUAACUACGUGCCAGCAGCCGCGGUAAUACGUAGGUGGACGAGCGUUAUCCGGAUUACUGGGUG
rnacentral:rRNA from 1 species